rnacentral:rRNA from 1 species
UACGUAGGUGACAAGCGUUGUCCGGAUUUACUGGGCGUAAAGAGCGCGCAGGCGGUCAAGUAAGUCGAAUGUGAAAGCCCCCGGCUCAACUGGGGAGGGUCAUUCGAUACUGCUCGACUCGAAGGCAGGAGAGGGAAGUGGAAUUCCCGGUGUAGUGGUGAAAUGCGUAGAUAUCGGGAGGAACACCAGUGGCGAAGGCGACUUUCUGGCCUGUUCUUGACGCUGAGGCGCGAAAGCUAGGGGAGCAAACGGG